AGAGUUUGAUCAUGGCUCAGGAUAAACGCUGGCGGCGCACAUAAGACAUGCAAGUCGAACGAACUUAACCAUUAGUUUACUAUUGGAGCGGUUAGUGGCGGACUGGUGAGUAACACGUAAGCAACCUGCCUGUUAGAGGGGAACAACAGUUAGAAAUGACUGCUAAUACCGCAUAUGCCUUAGUUAUCGCAUGAUAAUAGAGGGAAAGGAGCAAUCCGCUAACAGAUGGGCUUGCGUCUGAUUAGAUAGUUGGUGUGGUAACGGCAUACCAAGUCGACGAUCAGUAGCCGGACUGAGAGGUUGAACGGCCACAUUGGGACUGAGAUACGGCCCAGACUCCUACGGGAGGCAGCAGUCGGGAAUAUUGCACAAUGGGGGAAACCCUGAUGCAGCGACGCCGCGUGGAGGAAGAAGGUCUUCGGAUUGUAAACUCCUGUUGUUGGGGAAAAAGAGGAUGGUACCCAACAAGGAAGUGACGGCUAACUACGUGCCAGCAGCCGCGGUAAUACGUAUGGUGCAAGCGUUAUCCCGG
rnacentral:rRNA from 1 species